UCCAUUUCAUUUCCUCUUGCUGGUGUUGUUCGUCCCCGACUGCCGACCUAGAAAUUUCAGUUCAGAAACCCAAUCUCUGUUUCUUUCGCCUCUCUUCUGUGAUGAGAAUCAAACACAUUCGCACCUCUCUGUGUGCUGAGAGAGACUAGAUGCUGAUCAAAACGCUGCGUUUCGUCGGCGAUCGUCGAAAUCCGUAUCGGAAUGCAAUCCAACGUAUCUUCAACGACCUCAGGGAACUUAUGUUGAAUGAAUCAAAGCGGAAGUUGUGUAGUCUCCUGCUCGUGCUCUUUCCUUGAUAGCAACCGUACAGGUUUUCUGGAAGAGUGUGGGCAGUGGGUGCUCUUUGUUGCUGGGAGAACUUGUGUCUAAAGAGAGAAGAAAAUUAGACUUUUCUCGUGUGGUGAUGAGGGAUCUUUUGAGCAAGUAUGGUGUGAGAAAGAGACAACUUGAGAGUUUGGUUUGACUAUUGACGAGAGGAAGAAGAUUGGGUUUUUAUUGGAGUUCUAAGGUUGCUUUCCAAAGUUUAGGAAAUGGUUCGGUCAGGAUUGACAAGUGGUCAGGGAUCAGUUUCUGAAAAAUCUGUAAUCAUCAGUUGUUUUGGUGGACACACGUUACUGUUCCAGUAACUGAACAAUAUGGAUGUGUAGUUCUAGGAUAGUUUCUAUCAAGGACAAUGGGUUUUAUGGAAAUAUUAUUGGCCUUUUGAAUUAACUGUUGUAUCAUGUUACCUCUUGGGUGUGCAUUGAUUAGUAGCCUUUCUAUUCAAAACUGCAUACUAAUGAAAUCUUGUGGACAAUGGAUUUUAUGUGUUUCCAUUGAAUCAUUGGUACUAA